GACGAACGCUGGCGGCGUGCUUAACACAUGCAAGUCGAACGGAAAGGCCCUGCUUUUGUGGGGUGCUCGAGUGGCGAACGGGUGAGUAACACGUGAGUAACCUGCCCUUGACUUUGGGAUAACUUCAGGAAACUGGGGCUAAUACCGGAUAGGAGCUCCUGCUGCAUGGUGGGGGUUGGAAAGUUUCGGCGGUUGGGGAUGGACUCGCGGCUUAUCAGCUUGUUGGUGGGGUAGUGGCUUACCAAGGCUUUGACGGGUAGCCGGCCUGAGAGGGUGACCGGCCACAUUGGGACUGAGAUACGGCCCAGACUCCUACGGGAGGCAGCAGUGGGGAAUAUUGCACAAUGGGCGGAAGCCUGAUGCAGCAACGCCGCGUGCGGGAUGACGGCCUUCGGGUUGUAAACCGCUUUCGCCUGUGACGAAGCGUGAGUGACGGUAAUGGGUAAAGAAGCACCGGCUAANUACGUGCCAGCAGCCGCGGUGAUACGUAGGGUGCGAGCGUUGUCCGGAUUUAUUGGGCGUAAAGGGCUCGUAGGUCGUUGAUCGCGUCGGAAGUGUAAUCUUGGGGCUUAACCCUGAGCGUGCUUUCGAUACGGGUUGACUUGAGGAAGGUAGGGGAGAAUGGAAUUCCUGGUGGAGCGGUGGAAUGCGCAGAUAUCAGGAGGAACACCAGUGGCGAAGGCGGUUCUCUGGGCCCUUCCUGACGCUGAGGAGCGAAAGCGUGGGGAGCGAACAGGCUUAGAUACCCAGGUAGUCCACGCUGUAAACGGUGGGUACUAGGUGUGGGGUCCAUUCCACGGGUUCCGUGCCGUAGCUAACGCUUUAAGUACCCCGCCUGGGGAGUACGGCCGCAAGGCUAAAACUCAAAGGAAUUGACGGGGCCCCGCACAAGCGGCGGAGCAUGCGGAUUAAUUCGAUGCAACGCGUAGAACCUUACCCUGGGUUUGACAUGGAUCGGGAUGCCUCAGAAAGGGAUGUGCCUCUUUUGGGGUCGGUUCACAGGUGGUGCAUGGCUGUCGUCAGCUCGUGUCGUGAGAUGUUGGGUUAAGUCCCGCAACGAGCGCAACCCUUGUUCACUGUUGCCAGCACGUUAUGGUGGGGACUCAGUGGAGACCGCCGGGGUCAACUCGGAGGAAGGUGGGGAUGACGUCAAGUCAUCAUGCCCCUUAUGUCCAGGGCUUCACGCAUGCUACAAUGGCUGGUACAGAGAGUGGCGAGCCUGUAAGGGUGAGCGAACCGCGGAAAGCCGGUCUCAGUUCGGAUUGGGGUCUGCAACUCGACCUCAUGAAGUCGGAGUCGCUAGUAAUCGCAGAUCAGCAACGCUGCGGUGGAUACGUUCCCGGGGCUUGUACACACCGCCCGUCAAGUCAUGAAAGUUGGUAACACCCGAAGCCGGUGGCCUAACCGUUGUGGGGGAGCCGUCGAAGGUGGGACUGGUGAUUAGGACUAAGUCGUAACAAGGUAGCCGUACCGGAAGG
rnacentral:rRNA from 1 species